rnacentral:misc_RNA from 1 species
GGCACAAUAGCAAGACGAGACGUCCGUUGUGAACCAUCCAUCCAUACUGCCAAGCUAUCAUGAAAUGUGAAUUAUUUUUUUUCUGCAUAAUUACCUAUGGAGCCUCAUGCAAUUGAAAUUUAUUUAUUUUGAACUUAUCAAAUUACCCGUCAAUAUUUCACAAUAGUGUUAAUAAAAAUUCCCAGCACAGAACCAAACCAUAAGUACCCUCCA